rnacentral:rRNA from 1 species
AGCGCAGGCGGUGCGGCAAGUCUGAUGUGAAAGCCCGGGGCUCAACCCCGGUAUUGCAUUGGAAACUGUCGUACUAGAGUGUCGGAGGGGUAAGCGGAAUUCCUAGUGUAGCGGUGAAAUGCGUAGAUAUUAGGAGGAACACCAGUGGCGAAGGCGGCUUACUGGACGAUAACUGACGCUGAGGCUCGAAAGCGUGGGGAGCAAACA